rnacentral:rRNA from 1 species
AUACGUAGGGAGCGAGCGUUGUCCGGAAUUACUGGGCGUAAAGGGCGCGUAGGCGGCGCUUCAAGUCGUCUGUCAAAUGGGAGGGCUUAACCCUUUUUCGCAGACGAAACUGGAGAGCUUGAGAAGCAGAGAGGCAAACAGAAUUCCUGGUGUAGCGGUGAAAUGCGUAGAUAUCAGGAAGAAUACCAGUGGCGAAGGCGGUUUGCUGGCUGCAUACUGACGCUGAAGCGCGAAAGCCAGGGGAGCGAACGGGAUUAGAUACCCCGGUAGUCCUGGCAGUAAACGAUGUAUGCUGGGUGUGAGACUAGCGAUAGUUUCGUGCCGAAGUUAACGCGAUAAGCAUACCGCCUGGGGAGUACGGUCGCAAGAUUGAAACUCAAAUGAAUUGGCGGGG